CCGGCGCACGGUGAGUAACGCGUAUGCAACUUACCUAUCAGAGGGGGAUAACCCGGCGAAAGUCGGACUAAUACCGCAUAAAGCAGGGAUCCCGCAUGGGAAUAUUUGCUAAAGAUUCAUCGCUGAUAGAUAGGCAUGCGUUCCAUUAGGCAGUUGGCGGGGUAACGGCCCACCAAACCGACGAUGGAUAGGGGUUCUGAGAGGAAGGUCCCCCACAUUGGUACUGAGACACGGACCAA
rnacentral:rRNA from 1 species